rnacentral:pre_miRNA from 1 species
AAAGUACUCCCUCCGUCCAAAAAUUCUUGUCUUAGAUUUUUCUAGAUACGGAUGUAUCAAGUCACAUUUUAGUAUUAGAUACAUCCGUAUUUAGACAAAUCUAAGACAAGAAAUUUGGGACAGAGGGAGUAGUUG